GAAGACUGGCAGGGGGUAGCCGAGAACUUGGCGAACCCGGCCGGGCUGUGUAUUUGGAUUUUGCUACUGCCGGACUGUUGAUGGCUAAUCCCGGGGAAGCGCCUGGCAUUGAGCCAAGCACACAGUGAGCAAGCAAUAAAUGGUGGUCAUUUAAAAGGCCUCACAGCCUUUUAAAAACAAAGAUAUUCCAGAGAGAUUGACAGCGAGAGAGGGAACACAAGCAGGGGGAGUGGGAGACGGA